CAUUCUUUCAUAAAACUAAAGAGAUUUGGCUUCGCUCUUUAGUUUUAUGUAACGAAAAGGUUCCAUUCACAUAGGACACACAUACUGAUACAGUUUAUAGCUUGAAUGCAAGGAAUAAAUGUAGAUGAAGCUUUUAUUUAGUUGUAAACAUUUACUUCUUGUUGCAGGAAAGUAAAUGGGUAUUUCUUAAAGGGAUAGUUCACCCUAAAAUGAAAAUUAAGUAAUCAUUUACUCAGCUUGGUGUUGUUCUAAUGCCGUAUACCAUUCUUUCUUUUAUGGACCUUGGCCAUUGGUCUUCUCUGCAUGGCUGCAUGACGUGUGCAUUGUAAGUUGUAAGAAAUUAAGAUUAACAAAAACGCACAAAUACAACACUUAGAAAUCCCAGAAAAGUAUCUGUGUACUUUCUUUACUGAGUCAAAUAUCAACGGACCAGAACUCCUGUCUGAUGACAGUCAGAAUGACAGUUGGCAGAUGUGAAUAUAUGCGAUAACUACUUGUUGUGACAAACACAACUGAUAUAUUCACCUCAGAGAAGAAGGUACAUGGGUUGUAUUUCAUGUUGUGUUUUUAUUAAUAUUAAUAUUCUCACAACGGCGGUGCUUAUAGAGUGUUACGAAGGAGCAUGUGCUCAUACCGUGCACAGAAGAUCAAUGGCCAAGGUCAGGAUUUUCUUUAAAUAAUACAUUUAAUUUCAGUUUAUUUUUCACCAAACCCUAUCGUAUACCACAAGAAUGCUUGGAAUACACAUCAUGUGUCGCAUGGGAUCAUUCUGUGAUACUUCUGCAUCUUUUUUAAAAAGCUGCCAUUAUAUGGAUGAGCGCAAGAGGGACUUUUUUUUUUUUUUAAAUCUUCUUUUGUGGUCCAUAAAAAAAGAAGGGAAUACAGCAUUAGAACAACACCAGGGUGAGUAAAUUAUGACUUAAUUUUCAUUUUAGGGUGAACUAUCCCUUUAAGUUAAGUACGUACAGUACAUUACCUAAUUUUCAGCAGCAUUCCGUAUUGGUUUUGACUCUUUGAUUCGUAGAUUAAGUAGGUUGUUUCAGAUGGAUCGCUUAUCCAGACUGUACUUAAACUGUUAUCUUGAGGUUUUUUUAGACUAGUUGACUAGUCGUUUACAAAUUUUUCAUUUAAACAGUAUGGAAAUUAGUCAUGGCACACAUCCCUAAUGCUUACUACUAUUUUUUUGGGCAGUGGCAAACUUAUGUUAAAUUAGUACUUCAGUCUUUAUAAAAGAGAUGUUUGCAGUGUGUAUAUUUGUUUAUUCUCAGGCCGGAGUCCACAGAGGGCUUUCUGUCACCUUGUCCAUCAGUAAGUGGAAACGGGGAGAACUGGGAGCUCGAAUCAACAACAUCGUCUGCAGCGUCUAACACAGAAUACACAGUUUCGCUCCCUGUACUCAUAUUAUCCAGAGGCGGAGGAGAUCAACAAGCUAGCUGGCAUCGGGCCCAAGACCAUCACGCCCAAAAUGAUCGAGAACCUUUACAGGUUCGGAUAAGCUCGGAUAAGAAACAGUUCAGCAAAAUCCCCGCCAAAACUAUGUCAGCUAGCGUGGAUGCCAUCACCAUUUACAGCCACCUCUGGCAGAACAAGAAACAAAACACACCCAAAAAACUGCUCAAAUAAGUUCACAGCUCACUGGCAGAUUUCUGCCUAUCGGACAUUACAGUGCACAUCCUGAAUGUAAUGAAAACACUUUCGCAGGCUUUGUCGGAUGGUCACUUGUGGCGAGUUUGAGACCCUCUGCUCUACAGUCUUUGCAGCACUGAAGGAUGCGCUUUUACGCCAUUUUUAUUUCAAACAUGUUCAAUUUUGUGGCCUUAUGCUUGUUUUGUCGUGUCUUUUAUGCAAUGCUUAACGCACAGUUACUGAGUCAUUUCAUCGUAUGAAGAUACGCAAUCUGCUUCUUUUGUGUUUGUGGAAAUGCAGGUGUAAAAGAAUAAUAGGGACAUACUAAACUUGAAGACUAAUUUUUCAGAAGGUCAUGCAGUUGAAGAAGCAUUUAAUGUACUGGAACCUGAGAAACAAACUCUUUUGCUUUAUUUAAUGUCUGUGUUUUUAUAUUUUGGGUAGGAUUCGUAAUUCUUGUUGCACAUCUGCUUCUCCAGAGGAUUGUGUGUAAAAUUAGCUACAGUAAGAGUAGUUCGCUCAAGACUCUUCCUUAAAAAAAAAUGAACACACUCAUGUUGCUCUAUAUCUGUCAUGUAAAAGUAAUGAUGGGGCCUUUAACUGAUGAAGUUAAGGACCAAAACAUUAUAGCUUUAGAUCCCUAGAUAUGUUGCUAUCACUUGUGUCACGGCCCAGUGUGCCAUGUAUGUUUGAAACAUACAUUUUAGAGAGACAGAUCAGUUAAGCUGACAGAGUAGUGUAAAAAAAAAUCCAUAUAAAUAAUAGAGAGGAAACACUGAGAUAUUAAAUAUCAUAUAAUGAAGCUUUCAAAGAGAUGGUGAGUAUUAUUGCUAAAUGAUGUUAAAUAAAUCAUUUUUAAUUAUGAAGUGCAUUUUAAAGAGCUGGGAUAUUUGGGCAGGCUGUUGUCUGGUUACACAUUUUGUCUUCUGGCGCAAAAGAGUCGAAAGAUAUUUGUUAUUUUUACUAAGUGAAGUAAAUCAUCGUUUGAAUUUAUUGAUUCUGUACAGAUAUAGUUUUACAUACUAAGCAUAUUUUUUAAACCAUUGAAUAUUACUGAUAUUUUUCAUAUGAAAAAGAUGUUUAACAGGUCAAAGUAUGAGUCAGUCCUGGCGACGGGACGUGAUAAAAGCUGUUCUGAGUGUUGUUCAUUUCCACACGCUGUCUAAUCUUUUUCCAGGUCAUGUCCGCUGUUUGUUCGUCAUAUGCUUUGUCUAUUUGUAUUUGAAUGUUAACCUUAACAUAAAUACAGAUUUACAUCCAAAA